GAAGCUUGCUUCUAUGACGUUAGCGGCGGACGGGUGAGUAACACGUGGGCAACCUGCCUGUAAGACUGGGAUAACUUCGGGAAACCGAAGCUAAUACCGGAUAGGAUCUUCUCCUUCAUGGGAGAUGAUUGAAAGAUGGUUUCGGCUAUCACUUACAGAUGGGCCCGCGGUGCAUUAGCUAGUUGGUGAGGUAACGGCUCACCAAGGCAACGAUGCAUAGCCGACCUGAGAGGGUGAUCGGCCACACUGGGACUGAGACACGGCCCAGACUCCUACGGGAGGCAGCAGUAGGGAAUCUUCCGCAAUGGACGAAAGUCUGACGGAGCAACGCCGCGUGAGUGAUGAAGGCUUUCGGGUCGUAAAACUCUGUUGUUAGGGAAGAACAAGUACNAGAGUAACUGCUUGUACCUUGACGGUACCUAACCAGAAAGCCACGGCUAACUACNUGCCAGCAGCCGCGGUAAUACGUNGGUGGCAAGCGUNNUCCGGAAUUAUUGGGCGUAAAGCGCGCGCA
rnacentral:rRNA from 1 species